GCAGGAUGAGGCCAGGAUGGCUAAGAGCCUCCUCUGGAAGAGGCAGAGGAGCUACUCAAAACAGAUUUCAAACCUUGGGGCAUAUUUCUGCUCAAAAUAGAUUUCUUGAAGAAGGAUCUUCAUCUAAUAUGAGACCUUCAUUUGCAAAUUAUCAAAAAUAUAUAGAUUUCAUUGCCAGCAAUGCUGGAAUUACUCAAAAAUAUAAAGAUUUCACUACCAGCAAUAUUCAACCCACUUCUGUUGAGAAUAAC
rnacentral:lncRNA from 1 species